UACAGAGGUCUCAAGCGUUGUUCGGAUUCAUUGGGCGUAAAGGGUGUGUAGGUGGCGCGCUAAGUCGGGUGUGAAAUUUCGGAGCUUAACUUCGAAACUGCAUUCGAUACUGGCGUGCUUGAGGACUGGGAGAGGAGACUGGAAUUUACGGUGUAGCAGUGAAAUGCGUAGAUAUCGUAAGGAAGACCAGUGGCGAAGGCGGGUCUCUGGACAGUUCCUGACACUGAGACACGAAGGCCAGGGGAGCAAACGGG
rnacentral:rRNA from 1 species